GUGCUCACUACCACAGCACAUAUACUAAAAUUGGAACAAUACAGAGAAGAUUAGCAUGACCCCUGCACAAGGAUGCCACACAAAUUCAUGAAGCGUUCCAUAGUUUA
ensembl:snRNA U6 U6 spliceosomal RNA